rnacentral:sRNA from 1 species
AGGGCUCAAGGGUUCUUGUUGAUGCACGAGAUAAGCUUGGCAUUCCUUGGCAGUAUUCUGAAAAUGAGAAGCAUGGGAUGUUCCUGAUGGCCUUUGAGAACAAGGCGGGGCUGCCUGUGGAGCCGGCCACCUUCCAGCUGUACGUCCCGGCCCUGAGCGCACUCUGGAGGGAUUCUGGCAUCAGGGAGGCUUUCAGCCGGAGGAGCGAGUUUCAGCUGGUGAGUGAGUAAGCCUUCUUUCUGGGCACCUCAUAGUGUGUUUUUUACACGACUAUUUUGGACCGUUAGUCGAAUUUCCUUAAAAACUCUGUAACAGUCCAAGCAAGCUCUAAAUCACCAUAAGUUGUAAUGAUCAACAACCAAAACACAGGACGGAGGCAGAUGCUAUAUAAAAGGCUCAAGAGGGGAAGGAGCAAGAGCCACUCAGGGGGAAUCGGUGAAGUACUUCCUGGACAACUUGGACCGGAUCGGCCAGCUGAAUUACUUUCCUAGUAAGCAAGACAUCCUGCUGGCUAGGAAAGCCACCAAGGGAAUUGUGGAGCAUGACUUCGUUAUUAAGAAGAUCCCCUUUAAGAUGGUAGAUGUGGGCGGCCAGCGGUCCCAGCGCCAGAAGUGGUUCCAGUGCUUCGACGGGAUCACGUCCAUCCUGUUCAUGGUCUCUUCCAGCGAGUACGACCAGGUCCUCAUGGAGGACAGGCGCACCAACCGGCUGGUGGAGUCCAUGAACAUCUUCGAGACCAUCGUCAACAACAAGCUCUUCUUCAACGUCUCCAUCAUUCUCUUCCUCAACAAGAUGGACCUCCUGGUGGAGAAGGUGAAGACCGUGAGCAUCAAGAAGCACUUCCCGGACUUCAGGGGCGACCCGCACAGGCUGGAGGACGUCCAGCGCUACCUGGUCCAGUGCUUCGACAGGAAGAGACGGAACCGCAGCAAGCCGCUCUUCCACCACUUCACCACCGCCAUCGACACCGAGAACGUCCGCUUCGUGUUCCAUGCUGUGAAAGACACCAUCCUGCAGGAGAACCUGAAGGACAUCAUGCUGCAGUGAGCGAGGAAGCCCCAGGCUUUGUCGUCCUUGAGCAGCCUCCACGGCUGUGGGUCAGACUCUUGGGUGUGUAUUGUCUGUGUGGUCCUUGAGUGGGUUUCUCGGAUCCGUGCCCUGGAAUACCUGGCUCAGGAAUGCCGUCAGACCAGCCAGCCAGCGAG